ACCGACGAUCGGUUUCUCUACCUACCCUUUUAUGCGCCAUCCUCUUCCACCCCUUUGCCCCAUUCCCAUCUACUACUCCUCUCCAUCCGACCCUACUACUCCGUCUUUCCAUCCCCCUAUCCCCUUUUCCGCGCUCUCUCCUGCUCCUCUUCCACCCUCCUAUCGCGCUUCUUUUUUUUCCUCUCUUUCCACGGCGCUGGCGACCCUUGCCGCGCUACCGCAGAACCUGCUACAGGGAUCCCUUUUCUCGAACGGGGGCGGCAGGGAGGCAGCUUUGCUGCGAGUUUCCGGUGCACACCGAUGGCUAUUUCCGUUCACGCUCCAAGGACUCAAGACGACGAAGAGGACCGGUUGGCUAACCGGGGCUACCUCUCUGCUCUCUCUAUCGCGGGGUAAUCGCACGUAUCGCCCCCGAUCGUGCCUCCAUCGUACCUCGUGUAUGCCGAUUACGUCCAACGACCGAUAAGAUUUCUUCGCUAGGCUCGCUAUUUCCAGACCCUUUGAGCCUGACGAUUCGCUGGACGCGACCGUUCAUUCCGAUUUAUUCGAUAUUUCAUCGAUACGCACCGUGCGCGCCACUUAAGUUUUUCCGCCCGUUGUUACAGGCCUCGGCGAACCAACGGGUCGGUAUUUUAUAAUUAUCUCACCUUUGUAUCUAGAAUCUGGAGUAUAGAUUUUCCGAGCUUGUUCACGCGGAUCGGAUGCGCCAACGUUCCUUAUAAAUAUAUAGAUAGUAAACGUACAUAGAUGCCGCGCCGGUGUCCUUUCUCGUUAUUCGUUUCAUCUUUCGACCGACAUCUCGCGAAAAGAGUGCCGUCGCGAAACAAACCCGUAGCAAAUACGAGUGUCGCUCGAGUGACAAUUAUCCGCGUCUCCUCCCUCCCGAAGGCUGAUUGCCAAGCACCGACGGUUUUAUCUUUGCGUUUCUCCGUACGAUUGCAUCAAAUUAUUAUAUCAAACAGAAAUUGUUAUUCAUUCGCUUGACUGUUACAUCGCUCGACCCAGUCACGUUGCAGCUGAAUAGGAAUUCAGACAAGUUGGUAUUCUAUUCGAGGCGUGUUCCUAUGUGUGAAGUAAAAUAAACAUUUGGCAUCUUCUUGUAUAGGACAUUCCGCUACACAUUACGCUACGACGGAAAUACACCAAACGAUAGUUUUAUUUUGCCAUUAUUCGUCGCUCGUCUCAAAGAGAGGAGAAGCAAAGAAAACGAACAUAACGUAAACAUGGGUUUUCUAUAAUUUAAGCGACAAGCAAAAAGAUCACUGUCAGACGACUGAAGAUAGCAACUAAAUUCUCAUAUACGUACGUAUAAACGAUAAACGAUUAAUCAGAGUACUGAACUUUGUCAUUAGCUUCUACAAAGCCCUUUUGCUACAAGCAGUGCGUAUAAUAAUAAACGAUACUCGGAGGAUCCCCUCUCCUACUAGGUGAAAACGAAGCAUCAGAUCCACAAGACUAAUAAUACGUGGACAUAUAUUACGGAAGACUGGACAAUUCCGUUAGCACGGAGGUUGGAGCUCAACGAGGUAUGACGUUACACGAUGCUUACACGGCCCCAAGAGCCCGAGUCUACUAUUUUGUGCGCUAGUAGAACUGUGAAAAUGCCUUUUUACGAAGCAACCGAGCAUAUGCGCCAUCGUAGCUCGACCAUACGCUGUCACAGCCCUAUGGACCGAGUGAGACGUUGCACGGGUGAAAUGUUUCACCAACGAGACUCAAAGGAUAGUUAACAGUUAACGGCCAUGUGACCAUACCGUCAUCCUAUCCCGCACCAAUCGACCGCGAUGUGUACCCUCGCACCCUUUAUCCUCUUUUUCUCGCUUCGUCCUUCUCUCUUCUCUGGUCGCUUAAUUCUGAUUUGAUUGUUUUAUAGCUUAGUAGGUGCCAAUCCAACAUUCGUUCGCGUAUCACGAGCGAACGCAUUUCUUGAUAAACGCGAAACGUUGAAAUCGGGACGAAAUCUAUAUAGGUCGCGGACUGAAAGGAUAUCGUUAUGGAGAAGAUGCGUUAUCUUUCAAUUUAUUUACAUACACUGUACAUACUUGACGAUCGGCUCAUCGAGAUACACGCAUCGAGUACGUUCUGUGCAUGCACGUUUUUCACCUUCCCUCCCUUCCUAUUGCCUGGAGAAGAACUGCAAAGGCCAAUAAUAGGGAUAGCAGUGUCACGUAAAUCAGCCAGAGUCCUCUUAUCCUAGCUUGACGUGUGAGAACCAACGCAACGUGAGGCUGAGGGUUAUCGGAUCAGUAUCUAUAGCACUCACAGAGAGUACAGCUAAAUGUUAGAAAAAGGAAACUAGAUGCUAUCACGCUUACAAUUAGUAAAUUUCCUAUUUUAUACAUACACAUGCAUAGAUUUCCGUGCGAAGCAUAAAUUUCGUAUUUCGUGCUUAGUGAAAAGAUACCAAGCAAAGAACGACAUUUUCGGUAUAGGAUGAUCUGACAAGCGUGCUGGGUAAGUUCAUCGAUAUACUUCAGAAACAGCCAAUGUUGCCUUAAAAUAGUUUAUUGAUUAUAAGUAUCAAACAACCUUUUCUGAAUGUAUAAGAAUCCUUAUCGAAACUUUAAAGCCAUUUUGCUUAGAAACUACAGUUUUUAAGUUUGUGGAAACGAUAUUCUAGAAACUGAUACGGCCUUCGCCUUUAAGCUCUAAGAGUUUAUAAAAAUGCGAGUUUAUUCGCUGCUUCACCUAAGAUUACAUAGUAUAUACGUACAAUAGUACGUACAAUAACGUUUAGUCGUAUUAAUAUAAACGAGCGAUAAUUUUCCUCGCUUUAAUCCGAUUUAAGUUUAAAAUCAUAUCGCUUUAUUAAUUUCUCGUUCAGUAGGUUUACUUUCUUUUAAUUAGAUACUUUAUCUUUAUUUUAAUUAGAUACUUUUAUUACCAUUUUAUUCCGGAGAUGCUGCUUGCAGGUAAUUUAAUUAUUGAUAUCAAUGUGUGGCUAGGGAAGAGAUUUCUUUAACUUGUUGAAUAAUUUCUUUAAAUAUAUCAAAAAUUAUUAAUUUGCUAUACUUAUUUUGAAAUGUCGUAGAGCGUAAAACAAUUCGUUAAAUGGUGUUUCUCUUCCAUUUUACAAUGUGCUUGUUCGUUAUGUGCUGAGGUUUUCCUCGUAUCAGCAAACCAAUACAUAUUAUCAUAGUCAACGUUAGUAAAAAUUAUUAUUAUCGUUUCCAGAAUAUAAAUCUAUUAAAAGAUCUAUUUAGCCGAAGUACUGCUGCUCACUAUCUUUUAGUAACUUUUGCGUGCUAUGACUAUUACGCUAUGACCACUGUACUGCACUGUACGAUGUACAUAUAAUAGCAUUUAAUAUGUAGGAUACGUAGAUAGAUAGAUGUGAUACGUAAAGAUGAAAUAUGCGUAUGAACUAAAUCCUUCCAACUCUCAACAUAUUUACUUUCAAGGUUUAAUACCUUUCCACUAAAAGCAUUUCCUAGAUCCCUUGUAAUCCUGCUUCUUGGAAACCGGAAUGAGAGCGGACAUGAAAUGUUAUUACGAACAACGUGCAACGUGCUUGAUAGAAAAUUAAUGAUCAAACUAAAUUAAGGCAAGAAAACACCUAAACACUGAUCGACGCGCAUAAGUCAAAGUAUUACGUUACGUUUAACGAAUACUUUGAUCGAUAAUUGAAAAUAUGUCGAUGAAAAGGAUAUAAUACAUGUGGGACUCUUAUCGCACGAUUCACUUUUACACAGUACCAUCUUUGCACGGUUUCUUUUAGCACGAUUUAUUUACUUUUGUCACUGUUUGAUCACUGUUACGCGAUUCUCGACCAAUCGAAAAUCGUCAGAACGACUUGAAUAUUCGAGCCAAAUAAAUAUCCCUGGGGAAAAGAUAGCAUUUCAGUUUCACUUAAAAUACAGAAGCUUGCGACAGAGAUUCAGGAUUAUAACGAUAGGUUACAGAAGGACGUAAGAUAUUUUUGACUGCCAAUUAACCAACUGUGAUGUGGGAUUUCCGCAACCACAGCCAAUUAGGUCAAUGAGGGGAAUCAAAGGAAAAUGCCCUAACCGAUGAUAGAUACUGGCAUUACGUGCGGCCAUACUGUGACGCAACGGUGGUGACCGGAGUAUCCAUUUUUUCUUUUAUCCGUUUCGACGCAUAAUCAGAAAUUUUAUACAUGUUCCAUAGAAUCGUACGUACAUAAGCAAUCAGUACAUAAGUAAAGUAUUCAAAUAAGAAAUUAUCUUCGUACUUUAUUAUAAUUAUAGUACAAUAUAAAAACAUAAUAUACCAAAAUAGAAUACAGUUCGUACAGAAUUAUCAUGCAACGUACGUUCGGUAGCGAUUAGUCAUAUUCGCCAGCAUUUCUUCGUCGUAUUUACAACGUAAUCGUAUAUACGUAGUCUUACAUUGAAACUUCUCCUGCAAAGUUUAGUUAUUAGAAGCUGUAGGUGCCUAAGUGGGAUGAAACAGGGUUAAAAGCAACAAGCUAAAUAUUCCAAAAUGCAUUAUAGCAGCUGAUGCAAACUUACACGUAUAACGAAUAAUUACAAUCGAACAA